ensembl:lncRNA
GUACGCUUCUUCACUUUUAAAGGACACUGCACAUGUCUAAAUGAAUGCUUCCUGCUCAUGCAGGAAGUAAAAUACAGCAAUUAGCAUGCUGCCUCUCCACAUGUCUCUUAGCUAAAGAUAAGACGUGCUGGCAGCACAGCAGGCCUCUAAUUCCCUCAUUCAGUUGUCUCUGGUCUCACUGAUUAUGGAUCUAUCCUGUAACUUAACCUGCAUCUUUCUCGCAGCAAGACAGCCGUCCAAUGAACAGCCCUUCCUCCACACAUCUCUUCUUCCUUUCUUCCUUCCUAAACAACUUCCUUUCAGCUGCUUGUCUUUGAAUCCGGGCUACGCUUCACAUCUGGCAAAAAACAAUCCCGAGCGGUUUAAACAAGAACAACAAGAAGCAGCACGAUGCUCUUGAUACGAUAUCAAGCUACGAGCAUAGAUGCUUGCGAAUAUAUCUGCUGGAGAGACAUGGCGGGAGCUUUAAGGAGGAGGCUGAGGUGAAAAUCACAGCAUGGCCCAAGGCGAGCAACACCACAACACACGGAAACAUUUUGCCCCCUGAUCUCUGCACCCUCAGAAGGAGUGGUGGGAUGCUCCAGGGCAAGGACGGCUCUGCAGGAGGAAAAAGUUCAAAAAGAGAAGAUAAAAAAACAAAAACAAUCCAACCACAAUAUUACAUUCCUAAACAGGAAGUCUCUCUGAAGAAAUAUUCAUUGAACAGCAUGAAUGUGCAUAAAAUGAUACACAGAAAGAAAGCAAGAAAGCAGAAUAUCAUUCGGAGUUGGUCUGAAGAGAUCCCUUCUGCUGGAGUACCACAUUCCUGGUGAGGUUUCAGUGGCAUCACCUGGGUUCUGUAAGACCAACUGUGAAAUCUGACUCGGUCUGAAGGUAUAGAUCUUCACAAUAUGAGGUAAUGAGCUAGUGAGACUCAUGCACAUAGAGCAAGUGCUGUAUACAUGGAUUUAACCAGCUUUACGUCUCUUAUCAGCCGGCUUUUCACCUAAGUGGAACCUGCUUGAAAGCCUGACGUAGCCGUGCAUUGCUGGUAAUGAGGGUGUAUUGGUUUUUUAACGAGGACUGCAUAAAUAGAGACAAGGACGGCAGCCUUUGAGUCACAAAACAACAAGGGAUAAAGUGGAGCUCGGCGCAGACUAUGGAACCCAGUGGGAUUCACACACUGACAUGCUCACACUUCCACACACGAACACACACACACUUGCUUGUUCGAGUGUGGGAGCGGUUACAAGUGUGCAGAGAGAUGCACAGUGCAAACUCGCCUACGGGUGCUUGCUAAAGAUGUAGUUGAAUUCUCCUGCUGCCAAAUAAGACCCCGUUGGAUGGUUUCUAAACACACACACAUACACCACAAUACACACACACACACACACACACACACACACACACACACACACACACACACACACACACACACAUACACGCUAUGCGGUACUUCGUACAAAACUUGCAACAAGAAAAAAAAAUGUUCGGAAACAUGUGCUCUUAAAAAACAAGUCAAAGUGUGGCUGAGCGUCCCUUGCGAAUAAGGCCCUGUUGGGUUCUUGUAGAGAAUUCACGCCAGUGCCGAAGCCUGCUUCCAUCAGUCAACACUCCUGUGCACCUGGAAGGUUCAGAGACCCCAUUCACCGCAGCCACGACCUGUCCCUCGCAAUCGUGCUUUGACUCGUUUCUUCUGCCACACUUUUGAGAGCGCACACCUGGCCCAAACCACAUUUUACGCUUAAAUAAUCAGUUCGUUUGCACCGAUUUAAGUCCCCAAUGCCUGCACAAGGGGCCAGAUGCCCGGAUCAGCUUUUUGAGGACAUAGUUUGAAGUUUUUGCUAGCUUUGCUGCACUACUUUUCUCAUAAACUUGCUUAGGACAUAUUGUCCAUAGAGGACUUAUGGGAAAUCAGAAGCGUGCAAACCAGCGAGUGGGCGAAAACACUUUCAGACAUGUUCAGUCUUGUAAAGUGGAGGCCAAUCUCAUAAUACCCAAGCACAACUAUACUGAGUGACACUAAUGUGUUAAGUACACUUUGAAGAGCUAUCAAUAUACAUGCCUGUGUAUGUCAUAUGAUCACAAUGCCUGCUGUACUCAACAGAAACAUUGAAAUGCUCGAAGAUUGCAAUAAUCUCAAGUGGAAACAGAAACCGUUGAUAUUUUCAGCUUGGCUCUGGACUGAAUUGUAGGCGCUGCCAGCUGAAUCUCACUACUGCUAAUCACAGAAAAGGUCAGAGUAAAAAUAAGGUGUGGCGAUGUGCCAAUAUGGUGUCUAGUGGCAAGGCUUUAGGUGGCCUUUUUGCCUCUCGGUUAAAUUUACACACUGAGAUUAAUUGUGGCUUGUUUACUCAGGAUGGAAAGGUGCCGCUACAGAAUCCCGAGCAUUGCGCAACUUCUCCAGCCGCAGUGCUGUGGGCUAUGUCUUCGAGUUUAAUGGGGCCGUGAUAACUAUCAAAUGGACAUGGAUUACACACUAUAUCAUUAUACACACCAUUGAUUUUGCCCUUGCUUUGCCAGACAAGCAAUAUUAUAUGUCCAAAAUGACCUUGUACAGAAAUGCAAGCAGUGGUGUAGGUCCAAGACAGGCUUAGCAGUGUGUUCUGUGCAUACUAUUGCCAAGCCGUCUGAAACAUCAUUGGUAGACAUUGUACUGUAUGUUUUAAGGACCGCAAUAAGAAAUGAAUAGCGCUAUUAACAAAAAGGAAUAACUGAUGACUUUUGUGAGAGUAAGUGUUUUGACAUUAGAAAAAAAAAGCAGGCUUAUGAGCUGUUAGGUUUCACUUGUCAUCAAAACCGUUCAAUGCCAAGGAUCUCUAGAGUAUGUUAAUUCUUUGGCAGUCACUUAAUUACACAUUUUACUGCUUUGCUGUCACAAGUUAGGGUUAGAAGAGGUUUCGAGGGGAAGGUAGAGCAGAUGUUUUUGUCUUCAAUCCAAUAAGUUGCACUAAGAAUUCUUUGUAUGGAUUUAGGACACUGAUUUCUCUAUAACUGUAGACUAUAAGAUAUAAUUCAAUCAUGAAAUUAAUCAUUUUUAAUGCUGAAAAAUACAAAUAAUAAUACCUAUCCAUCAGUCUAUCCAAACAUUUUAUUUGGAUAUGACUGGAUGCCUUCAUUUGAUCAUCCAAAUAAGUCAUUUAAGAAUUCCUUUCUUUUCAUUGGAGGAAAUCUCUGAAAAUGCAUCACAUUUGUGAAAGACAUGUAUUUACAUAUUUAUUGAAUCCUCAUAAAUAAAAACUUAUGGUGGGUAUUUUUUCAUUCGUUACAUGGUACGGUAUUUAACUGACUGAAAGGACAACACGCUAGUAUAAGUGAUUACAGUUCAAUCGUUACUGACUGUGGCACUCGUGUUGAUUGCCCACAGAUGUAGUGUCUGAUGUACCAGUGUACCUUUUUGAACAAAAAUGCUGUCUCAUCUACACUGGGAGUUCUCUGGACACCAUUUGGGUUUGGUCCAGCUGUGUCUACAGAGAUGUAGGCCUAAUUGAUUUCUCUCGGCUGUGCCGGACUGAGUGCGGGAACAAUCUUGUGUCCUUCUCAGUGUACUUUAGGCUAUAGACAACCAGACACUGACAUACUGGCCUUUUAUCAAAUAUUUAGUGCUUUAAUACAGUACUUGACGUUGGUAUUUAUUACUAUUCCAAAGUAUUUAUAGAGUAUGUAAAGGUUUGGAUAUUUAUUAUAUUCAAAACUAAUGAGAUUUGUUUGAUCGCUAAGAUUUUUUGACUGAUAAAGAAGAAUUAGUUGUUUACAUUUACAUUUAUUCAUUUUGCAGACGCUUUAUUAUCCAAAGUGACUUACCAAUGAGGAAAUACAAGCAAAGCAAUAUAUCAAGUGGAAAACAAUACAAGUAGUGCUACAAUGCAAGAUUUUUUAAAUUGAGUUCUAGAAAAGCAAAGUGUGCAGAGUAGAGGUGUAAGUGCCAGAGUAACUUCUAUUUAUUUAUUAUUUAUU